CUUAAAUCAUUAAAGGGUGGGGGACACCUACAAAACUAGUGACAGUGAAACUAACAUUACAAAUACAAGUUUGUAUUCCUAACACUAUGGUGUUCCUUUUAAGUCACAAUAACCACUGAUAAAAAUAUACACAAGAACAACUUAUGUCACACAUUGGGUGUACUUGUACAUUGGGUGUCAGGCUACUCACAUCAUAUACCUUUUAGCAUCAUAGAAAUUACGAUGAUCAGAAGUAUCCUACUUUACCCUGUUUUUAUCCAUUUCUCCAUUUAGCUCCUGACCUGUCAUAGUUCUUGUUACCAGAGAUUGUGUGUCUUAUCUAUUAUUCUGAGUUUCUUAACCAAAUCCUG